rnacentral:lncRNA from 1 species
GUGUGAUUCAAUAGCGACAUAAAUCAAACUCAAGACAUGUCGUGUAAUAUAUAUUUUGGGGUCGGAUUUACAACUUGGAAAAGGAUUUUGUUAUGAGAAAUUGUUGCAUAUAGACUUCCUUUCAAUUUUUAUUAUAAGCUUGUUUGGGCCCAAAAUAUUGGUUUGGGUCGAGUUUAGAAUUGUUCUCAGCCUGAAAACGUUGCUCAGGGGUCGGCCGUGUCCUAUCAGGAUGGGGUAGUUGAAUCUUGAUACAAUAAGGAGUCUCGGAAGGAUAAGGAUGCUGAAACUUGGGAAUGAAUGCGGCUUGAUAAGGGGUUGAGUUCAAAGUCCUAAUAGGAGUAGGACUGGCCGAGAUAAGAUUGGAUCGGGGUAAGAAGUCCUAACUCGAGUGUAGUUUUGAUUCGAUCAGAAGUAGGUUUGCUACUAUAAAUAGAGGGAGGAGUGCAUCAUUCAAACCCCCUCCAAUUCAACACACAAAUUGCCCUGCACAAACUCUCUCAACAACAACACUGUGAAAGCAACCGGUGAUACCUUCAGUUUGGAUAAACAACAUUAUCGCC